AUAGUCACAGUGUCCAUAAAAUUUUUUACAUUCUUUCCAGGAGAUUCAUCUGUCUUCUACCAAGAUCUAAGAAAAAUUUCUCUGGAUGUUGCAUGGAAAAGGUUCACAGAGGAGGGGCAGUGGACAUUGUGGUACCUAUGGAGUUUUAUAUUUGUGGCUGUUGGACCCCGACUGCCCAAAUCCUGUGAGAGGUCAUGGAGACCGGAAGUGGCAUGUUCAGUGGGCAGCUCCUAUGCUUGAUGUCGGAGGAGUUCUAUUUGGUCAUUCUCCAAACUGCUUGAUUGGUUUUUGUAACUUCUGUCCCCUGAAGGUACGUACAAGUAUGUCUUUUAUUUUUCUAAAUAUAUUAAGCAUAACUAUGCUAUCUAGUAUCUAAUAAUUUCAAUAUCUGGAGAGUUUGAUUGUCUAUUCCUGUAAUCUGUUAUGUCUGCUAGUUUUUGCUCCUGGUGCUUUGCUUCAUGGUGUGCAUAUAGUAGUGUUUUUUUGCUCUGAAAUGCUUAUUUUCAUUUUGAAAUUGUAGUAAUUCUCUGAGUUUAGGAUGGAAGUACAUUCCUCCAAAAACAAUAUGUGUAAAAUAUAUGUACAGCAAUCAAUCGUCUUUAUACAAAAAGAGAGAGAGAGAGAGAGAAGAUAGGGCCAUCAGAAGAUAAGGCCAGUAGAUUCUAACAGGAGAAAAGUUAACAUUUACAAUAGUAACGACCAAGAAAAAGAAAACCAUUGAGAAAUAAACUUGAUAAGAACCACACAGGCUCUAUAGGCAGAAAAUAUUGGAAUAGUUUUGAGAAAAAAUAAAAGAAUUAAACAACAAGAAAAGAAC
ensembl:lincRNA